GAGGGAUAUUGGGCAAUGGGGGAAACCCUGACCCAGCAACGCCGCGUGAGGGAAGACGGUUUUCGGAUUGUAAACCGCUGUCCUCUGUGAAGAUAAUGACGGUAACAGAGGAGGAAGCUCCGGCUAACUACGUGCCAGCAGCCGCGGUAAUACGUAGGGAGCAAGCGUUGUCCGGAUUUACUGGGUGUAAAGGGUGCGUAGACGGCUAUGCAAGUCAGAAGUGAAAUCCAUGGGCUUAACCCAUGAACUGCUUUUGAAACUGUGUAGCUUGAGUGAUGUAGAGGUAGGCGGAAUUCCCGGUGUAGCGGUGGAAUGCGUAGAGAUCGGGAGGAACACCAGUGGCGAAGGCGGCCUACUGGGCAUUAACUGACGUUGAGGCACGAAAGCAUGGGUAGCAAAC
rnacentral:rRNA from 1 species